GAGCGAGGCCUGGGGGGCAACUCCCAGAGUCGAGCGGCGGACGGGUGAGUAACACGUGGGUAACCUGCCCGGAAGUGGGGAAUACCUCGGGGAAACUCGAGCUAAUACCGCAUGACAUCUUCGGGACGAAAGUCCUGACGAUCAAAGCGGGGUCGCAAGAUCUCGCGCUACCGGAUGGGCCCGCGCCCGAUUAGCUAGUUGGUGAGGUAACGGCUCACCAAGGCUUCGAUCGGUAACCGGCCUGAGAGGGCGAUCGGUCACACCGGAACUGANACACGGUCCGGACUCCUACGGGAGGCAGCAGUGGGGAAUCUUGCGCAAUGGGCGAAAGCCUGACGCAGCAACGCCGCGUGGAGGAUGAAGGCCCUUGGGUUGUAAACUCCUGUCGGCUGGGAAGAAAUCGUACGGUGCUAAUACCACCGUGCGUUGACUGUACCAGCAAAGGAAGCCCCGGCUAACUCUGUGCCAGCAGCCGCGGUAAUACAGAGGGGGCCAGCGUUAUUCGGAAUUAUUGGGCGUAAAGGGCGCGUAGGCGGCCAUGCGUGUCUUCCGUGAAAUCCCUCGGCUUAACUGAGGACGUGCGGAAGAAACUGCAAGGCUCGAGUCCGGGAGAGGGGGGUGGAAUUCCCAGUGUAGCGGUGAAAUGCGUAGAUAUUGGGAGGAACACCGGUGGCGAAGGCGGCCCCCUGGACCGGUACUGACGCUGAGGCGCGAAAGCGUGGGUAGCAAACGGGAUUAGAUACCCCGGUAGUCCACGCCGUAAACGAUGGGCACUUGGUGUCGCGGGUAUCG
rnacentral:rRNA from 1 species